AAUAAGAGAUCAAAUACUUGCAUCACUAUAUAGUGAAUUACCGAAAACUCUCCAACCCGACUGAUUUACAAAUAUAGGAACUACUAACAAUCGAAUCAUCAUUCCAAAAAUUAUGCUUUGAACAAAUUUGAUUGAAGAUACAUACUAUGUAUCCAUACUUUAAUCUUGCUCUAAAACCAUAUAGAAUGGCACAUUACUUGGAGUAGAUUGAUCAUGCCGGCCU
rnacentral:lncRNA from 1 species